UACGGAGGGUGCAAGCGUUACUCGGAAUCAUUGGGCGUAAAGCGCACGUAGGCGGUCUCUUAAGUCUGGCGUGAAAUCCUGGGGCUCAACCUCAGAUGGCCGUUGGAAACUGAGAGACUUGAGAAUGGAAGGGGUCAGUGGAAUUCCUGGUGUAGGAGUGAAAUCCGUAGAGAUCAGGAGGAACACCGGUGGCGAAGGCGACUGACUGGGCCAUUUCUGACGCUAAUGUGCAAAAGCGUGGGGAGCAAACAGG
rnacentral:rRNA from 1 species